GUAAUGCUUGGGAACAUGCCUUGAGGUGGGGGACANCANUUGGAAACGACUGCUAAUACCGCAUAAUGUCUACGGACCAAAGGGGGCUUCGGCUCUCGCCUUUAGAUUGGCCCAAGUGGGAUUAGCUAGUUGGUGAGGUAAUGGCUCACCAAGGCAACGAUCCCUAGCUGGUUUGAGAGGAUGAUCAGCCACACUGGAACUGAGACACGGUCCAGACUCCUACGGGAGGCAGCAGUGGGGAAUAUUGCACAAUGGGCGCAAGCCUGAUGCAGCCAUGCCGCGUGUGUGAAGAAGGCCUUCGGGUUGUAAAGCACUUUCAGUCAGGAGGAAAGNUUAGUAGUUAAUACCUGCUAGNUGUGACGUUACUGACAGAAGAAGCACCGGCUAACUCCGUGCCAGCAGCCGCGGUAAUACGGAGGGUGCNAGCGUUAAUCGGAAUUACUGGGCGUAAAGCGUACGCAGGCGGUUUGUUAAGCGAGAUGUGAAAGCCCCGGGCUCAACCUGGGAACUGCAUUUCGAACUGGCAAACUAGAGUGUGAUAGAGGGUGGUAGAAUUUCANGUGUAGCGGUGAAAUGCGUAGAGAUCUGAAGGAAUACCGAUGGCGAANGCAGCCACCUGGGUCAACACUGACGCUCAUGUACGANAGCGUGNGGAGCANACANGAUUAGAUACCCUGNUAGUCCACGCCGUANACGAUGUCUACU
rnacentral:rRNA from 1 species